rnacentral:rRNA from 1 species
GUCUACGGCCACUCCACCCUGAACGUGCGGGAUCUUGUUUGAUCUCGGAAGCUAAGCAGGGUCAGGCCUGGUUAGUACUUGGAUGGGAGACCAUCUAGGAAAAUCAGGUGCCGUGGGCG